UACGUAGGGUGCAAGCGUUAAUCGGAAUUACUGGGCGUAAAGCGUGCGCAGGCGGCCUUGCACGACAGCUGUGAAAACCCCGGGCUCAACCUGGGAACUGCAUUUGAGACGGCAAGGCUAGAGUACGGCAGAGGGGGAUGGAAUUCCGCGUGUAGCAGUGAAAUGCGUAGAUAUGCGGAGGAACACCAAAGGCGAAGGCGAUCCCCUGGGCCUGUACUGACGCUCAUGCACGAAAGCGUGGGGAGCAAACAGG
rnacentral:rRNA from 1 species